rnacentral:rRNA from 2 species
UUUUGUAUAAUGGGUCAGCGACUUAUAUUCUGUAGCAAGGUUAACCGAAUAGGGGAGCCGAAGGGAAACCGAGUCUUAACUGGGCGUUAAGUUGCAGGGUAUAGACCCGAAACCCGGUGAUCUAGCCAUGGGCAGGUUGAAGGUUGGGUAACACUAACUGGAGGACCGAACCGACUAAUGUUGAAAAAUUAGCGGAUGACUUGUGGCUGGGGGUGAAAGGCCAAUCAAACCGGGAGAUAGCUGGUUCUCCCCGAAAGCUAUUUAGGUAGCGCCUCGUGAAUUCAUCUCCGGGGGUAGAGCACUGUUUCGGCAAGGGGGUCAUCCCGACUUACCAACCCGAUGCAAACUGCGAAUACCGGAGAAUGUUAUCACGGGAGACACACGGCGGGUGCUAACGUCCGUCGUGAAGAGGGAAACAACCCAGACCGCCAGCUAAGGUCCCAAAGUCAUGGUUAAGUGGGAAACGAUGUGGGAAGGCCCAGACAGCCAGGAUGUUGGCUUAGAAGCAGCCAUCAUUUAAAGAAAGCGUAAUAGCUCACUGGUCGAGUCGGCCUGCGCGGAAGAUGUAACGGGGCUAAACCAUGCACCGAAGCUGCGGCAGCGACGCUUAUGCGUUGUUGGGUAGGGGAGCGUUCUGUAAGCCUGCGAAGGUGUGCUGUGAGGCAUGCUGGAGGUAUCAGAAGUGCGAAUGCUGACAUAAG